rnacentral:rRNA from 1 species
CUACGGGUCGCUGCAGUGGGGAAUAUUGGACAAUGGGCGCAAGCCUGAUCCAGCAAUGCCGCGUGAGUGAAGACGGCCUUAGGGUUGUAAAACUCUUUCGCUAGGGAAGAUAAUGACUGUACCUAGUAAAGAAGUCCCGGCUAACUCCGUGCCAGCAGCCGCGGUAAUACGGAGGGGACUAGCGUUGUUCGGAAUUACUGGGCGUAAAGAGUUCGUAGGCGGAAUGACAAGUUAGGGGUGAAAUCCCAGGGCUCAACCCUGGAACUGCCUUUAAAACUGUCAGUCUAGAGACCGGAAGAGGUUAGGGGAAUACCUAGUGUAGAGGUGAAAUUCGUAGAUAUUAGGUGGAACACCAGUGGCGAAGGCGCCUAACUGGUCCGGUACUGACGCUGAGGAACGAAAGCGUGGGGAGCAAACAGGAUUAGAUACCCUCGUAGUC